AUGAGUGCGUGUAAGAAGGCCAGGGCGGAAGCUACAUCUGUUGUGAGUUCAGACAGACUUAGCAGUCUACCUCCAGAGUUAAAGGGCGACAUCCUCUCCCGUUUGAAUGUCGAAGAAGCGGUUAAGACUAGCACCUUAUCAAGUACUUGGAGGGAUGCAUGGACUAAUAUGCCAAAAAUAUUUCUGCGCGAUGGGAAUUUCGCAAGAACCAAGUUCGUCACAUUAGUUGAUAUGGUGCUAUCACUCCACAACGGAACUGUAGAGAUGUUUGACAUUUCAGGUAGCAAAACUUACCAUGAUGAGUUCGGUAGGUGGAUGCGCAUGCUAUCUAGGAUAAGACCAAGAUCAGUUACAAUCAGGUUGAACUCAGGGCCAGGGUAUAGGAUUCCUUCAUGUCUAUUUUCUAUCGGCGAUUUGAGGGUUCUGCACCUGCAAAACUGCGUCAUCAGCUUGCCCCGGGUAUUCCAAGGUUUCAAGAGAUUAACUCACCUGGACCUGAAAAAUUUCUCCUCCACAGACAUAGACAUCCAAAAUCUGGUCUCGUUCUGUCCCGUACUGAGUUAUUUGAAACUAGCUUCUUUUGAGGGCAUCAACUAUCUAAACGUUCAAGCUCCUAAACUGAAACUUCUUCAUGUUUUUGGGGACUUUGAAGACAUCAAUUUGGAUGCCCCUAAUUUGGAGGCUGCCGUUCUCUCUCUUGCACAUGAAGCUAAAGCACAACAAUCUGUUCCAAUUGCGCAUGACAAGGAAAGCCAUGUCAAGAAGUCAUUGGGAGACCUAAGUGGCAUCAAAACACUUGGAAUUAGUGGCAUUUUCAUGAAGUAUCUAUCAAAAUGGUGCAUACUUACAAAGUUCCCUGCCGUAUUUCAUCGCCUCGAGCAUAUUUAUCUUGUGAUAUGCUUUUGGGACCAGAGGCAAGUCUUGGCCACUUGUUCGCUGUUUCAGAAUGCCCCCAACUUAAAGAAGCUUGACAUGUGGAGUCAAUCUUUGAGCACAUGGGAUCAGGAUCAGGCGAGCAUUCCAGAGCUUACCAUGCAAGUGCAAUUGGAUCAUCUCGUAACAGCCAGUGUGAAGGGUUUCAGGGGUGUGGACUGCGAAGUCAAUUUCCUGGCAAAGCUACUGAGUUGGGCGCCGGCUCUGGAAGAAGUGAAGAUAGAAUGGACGGGCAAAACAGAGUGCAGCAUGGUUCUUGCCAAGCUAUUAGCUCUGCCAAGGGUGUCUCCCAGGGCCAAGUUUAAUCUGGAUUCUGAAGCAAUGAGUACCUGCAAAAAGACCAGGGCAGAAGCUACAUCUGUUGUGAGUUCAGACAGACUGAGCAGUCUACUUCCAAAGAUAAAGGGCAACGUCCUCUCCCGUUUGGAUGUCAGAGAAGCGGUUAGGACUAGCACCUUAUCAAGUACUUGGAGGGAUGCAUGGACAGAUAUGCCAAAAAUAUCUUUGCGCGAUAGAAAUUUUACGCGAACCAGGUUCGUUACGUUGGUCGAUAUGGUGCUAGCACUCCACAAGGGAACCAUAGAAGAGUUUGAUAUAUCAGACAGGGAUAUCCAAAAUCUGAUCUCGUUCUGCCCCGUCUUGACUGAUUUGAUAUUAACUUCUUUUGAGGGCAUCAACCGACUAAACAUUCAAGCUCCUAAGCUAGAAUAUCUUAAUGUAUAUGGGGACUUUGAAGACAUUAAUUUGGAGGCCCCUAAUCUGAAGGUGGCCAUUCUCUAUCUAGGUCACCAAGCUAAACUAUAUCAGUCUGUUCCAAUUGGGUAUGACAAGGAAAACCAUGUCAAGAAGUCACUGGGAAGCCUAAGUGAGAUCAAGACACUUGGAAUUACUGGCAGUUUCAUGAAGUAUCUAUCAAAAGGGUGCAUACUCACGAAGCUCCCAGUUGUGUUUACUCGCCUUGAGAAUAUUUAUCUUACGAUAUGCUUUUGGGACCAGAGGCAAGUCUUGACCGCUUAUUCAUUAUUUCAGAAUGCCCCUAACUUGAAGAAGCUUGCAGUGUGGAGUUACGCUUCGAGCACAUGCGAUCAGGAUCAGGCGAGGAUUCUAGAGCAUACCCUGCAAAUGAAAAUGGACCAUCUCGUAAUGGCCUGUGUUGAAUGUUUCCGGGGUCUUGACAACGAAGUCGAUUUCGUGGCAAAGUUACUGAGUUGGGCACCUGCUCUGGAAGAAGUGAAGAUAGAAUGGAAGGGUGAAACAGAUUGCAGCAUUGUUCUUGCCAAGCUAUUAGCUCUGCCGAGGGUGUCUCCCAGGGCCAAGGUCAUUGUUACAUUUUGA
rnacentral:rRNA from 1 species